GCGCGCCCUCGGGAGAAGCGAGAAGGGGCGGGGCUGGCGAGGCAGAAGCUCUUCCGCUGCCGGGCUUCCGGCUCCGGGUCCCGGCAGGAGGGGCCGCCGGGCCAGAGGCGGAGCUGCAGUUCUGCCGCGACUUUCAGACGCGGACCAUGGCCUCGUGCUGGUGGCGGUGGCGGCGCGGCUUCUCCUGGAGGCCGGCGGCGCGGAGUCCCGGGCCCGGCUCCCUCGGCCGCGCGGGACUGUCCGGGCUGCGCGCCGCCGCCGCCGCCGCUGCAUCCCGCGCGCAGAUGUCCUAUUUUAAUCUUGUGAAGAGUUUAACAUCUGCCUUUCCAAAUAUGUAUAGUAUAUCACGGUUCCAUCACGUGACGCCAGCAGUGUGCUGCUGUAGUAGAACACGGAGCGGUGAAAAAUACACUGAUCCUUUUAACCUUGGCUGGAGAGACUUGAAAGGUCUGUACGAGGACAUCAGGAAGGAACUAUUCAUAUCUACAACAGAACUUAAGGAUAUGUGUGAAUACUACUUUGAUGGAAAAGGAAAAGCCUUUCGACCAAUCAUUGUGGUGCUAAUGGCCCGAGCCUGUAAUAUUCAUCAUAAUAACUCCCGAAAUGUGCAAGCAAGCCAGCGUGCCAUAGCCUUAAUUGCAGAAAUGAUCCACACUGCCAGCCUGGUCCAUGAUGAUGUCAUUGAUGAUGCAAGUUCCCGAAGAGGAAAACACACAGUUAAUAAGAUCUGGGGUGAAAAGAAGGCUGUCCUUGCUGGCGAUUUAAUUCUUUCUGCAGCAUCGAUAGCUCUGGCACGAAUUGGAAAUACAACUGUUGUAUCUAUUUUAACCCAAGUGAUUGAAGAUUUGGUGCGUGGUGAAUUUCUUCAGCUCGGGUCAAAAGAAAAUGAAAAUGAAAGAUUUGCACACUACCUUGAAAAGACGUUCAAGAAGACUGCAAGUCUGAUAGCCAACAGUUGUAAAGCAGUGAUUGUUGUUUCUAGCGUGUGAAGCAUUAACGUGGCUCCGGAAGUCAAGUGUACAAGAGGUGACUGCCCGCUCAUCCCUUUCACCCUGGCCGUACCCGAUCCUUUCCACCCACCCUGUAAGUCACCAGUCUCCUUAGUGUCUGCUUCCUCCUUCCUGUGUUUCUUUUUACACAAAUGAGCACAUACAUGCAUGUUAUUUCCCCUUCUUUCUUACAACAAAAAUCAGUAUUAUACUCUACUGCUUUCUGUGUUGCUUUUGCAUUUGCUUUCUGCAGUUAACAGUAUACAGUGGAUGUCAGUCCAUGCCGAUUUGUAGACUCUUCCUCUUUUUAAACAGCUGCAUCGUAUCCCACCGUGUGGAUAUGGCAUGGUUUACUCAGCAUUCCUAUAUACGGACAUCCCGAUUUCUGAUGUAACUACAAAUAACACUGCAGUGACUAAGCUUGUGCAGAUGUAUUUUUGUGUUGUUAGAGGUGUGCCUUUGGGCUCUGUUUUAAAGUAACGGUGUAUGUGGUUUUGUUAGAAUCUAUCAAACGUCCCUCCAUGAGGGCUGUGCGUAUGCAUUUCCACCAGCAGUUUAGGGGCGGGUCUUGCCUGUUUCCGUACAGCAACACUAACUGAAUGUGGCCUCAGACUUUAAUAUUUGACCGUCUGAUAGAUGAGAAAUGGUAUUACAGUGGGGUUUUAAUUUACAUCUCUCCUGAGUGAAGUGGAACUCCUUUUAAGAUCCGUAAGGGCCGUUUUUAUGUCUUUAAUUUUUGUGAAUUGUCUACUCAUGUCUUUUGCCCAUUUUUCUAAUGGGUGAUUGGUCUUUUUUCCCUCUCAGUUUUAAAGAGAUCUUUAUAUAUUAAGAAUAUUAGCCCAUCAUCUGUGAUAACUAUGUUGAAAAUGUUUUCUCACAAUAUUUUCCAUUGGUUUCUGACAACAACCUGUUUUGAUAUUUUUUAUGUAAUGGUGGAGCUCCAAUAAUCUCCAUUAUUUUUAUUUAUUAUUGUUAUUUUUUAAAUAAUUUAUUUUGGCUGCGUUGGGUCUUCGUUGCUGUGUGUGGGCUUUUUCUAGUUGCAGCGAGCAGGGGCUACUCUUCGUUGUGGUGCGCAGGCUUCUCAUUGCGGUGGCUUCUCUUGUUGUGGAGCACAGGCUCUAGGUGCGUGGGCUUCAGUAGUUGCGGCGCGUGGGCUCAGUAGCUGUGGCUCGUGGGCUCUAGAGCGCAGGCUCAGUAGUUGUGGUGCAUGGGCUUAGUUGCUCUGUGGCAUGUGGGAUCUUCCUGGACCAGGGAUCGAACCCACGUCCCCUGCAUUGGUGGCAGAUUCUUAACUACUGCGCCACCAGGGAAGUCCCUCCAUUAUUUUUAAUAAAUAAUACCACAGUACGUAUAUUAACUCUUAUGGUGGUGUAAACACACCCUUUAAAGAUAGAGAUGCUUGAUAAAUGUCAAGUGCUGUGCCCCUGCCAGUGUAAACAGGACUUUCUGACCUUUUUGAGGCAAGGUGUAGGAGAGUCUCCUGAAAGGUGUGGACCUUCCCCCCAAAGACACACGUGUGCACCACGUGGCCUGGCUGCGGGCCUGCUUCAGACAGAACAGUUAGCUGAGCUCUGCUUUCUUUUACCGAAUCGCUCUUUGUUCUCCACCCUUCUCCAGAAAGAUGUGAGGCAUCUCUGUGAUGCUAAGGACAAGAAGCAUUCAUUUCCAGCAGCACGCUUGUUUUCUGUUUUGGGGGUUGCAUCGCUUCUGCCUUUCCUGGUUGGGUAGGACAGAUCCAGACAGUCCGCACCUGGGUCGGGGGAGUAGGCCUCUGCAGGGGUGAGGGGUGCUCUUUGCUCUGCACUGCUGGACAUCGAGCAGAAAUGUCCCUUCCCAGCCUGGGGGCCAGAAGCUGCCCGCUGAGGAGUAGCGGGCUUCUGUGUCUGCGCCUGUGAGCCGCAGCGGGCAGCACAGGCAGACCUCAAGGCUUCAUGCGUCCUGGGCCACGUGACUUGGCCUGUCUGAGCCUUGACUUUGAGGCCCAUUGGAAGCUCAGUGUAGCCGAGUGAUGAAGAAGAGUCUCUGGAGGAGACCUCCUGGGCUCAGUCCUGACUCCACCGUCUCCUUGUCCUGCAAUGUCUGGUGCCCUCUGUGUCUCAGCAGCUGCCUCCUCAGUGAGUUAAAAUGGGAGAAAUCAGAAUAGCGCCCAGCGCAUAGAGCGUGCGCAGUGAUUGUUAGCUUUUACUGUCAUCAACCGCAGAAGAAAUAUUUAUGGGAUGUUGUGAAAUUUAACUAAGAUAAUGUAAAGUGCUCAUCAUAUAUACUCCAUAAAUUUUAAUUCUUUGAGUUUAGAAAUAGAAUGGAGUUUUUAAAAAUCUUUGCCUUCUCAGGAAGGAAGUUUGCAUUUCUAUGCUGCUUUGUGUUGAGGAAACAGCGUUACCCUGUCUACAGAAUUGCUUUAUGAGUUAUUUCUGCCUGGAAGGGGGUGUCAUUGUGUUCUGAGCUCAGCGUAUCCCAGGCUGCCCAAGCCUUGCCAUGCACUCAUUCUCUCAGACAACUUGAUGCAUUUCUUCUUUCAAAAUUUCUACACUGUCUCCUGGGUGGUCUCAUAGAUCCCUCCCUACAGCCUGUGGGUCAGUGCCUGCCGGUGGUAAGGACUUUGCUGGUGAAAGCAGUUGAGUUUAUUAUUCACUCAAGUAAGGGGCCGCCUGGCCUUUUAUGAUGUGCGCUUUUUUAUCAAGGAUGUGUGGCCAAACAUUAUACAGGCACAGGCUUCAUCCAGUCAUCAGAAACCUUCUCAGGGCCGAGCAGGUCCUGUGCUCUGGCUGCAGCAGAGGUGCCUGGACACUCUCCAGGCUCCUGUUUGCGCGUCCGGUGGAGCGGAGGAGGACUGUUCACAGUCACAGCAGGCAUACGGAGUUAGAACUAGCUGCCCGGCACUGUGCUGAGCGUUUACAGGUAGCAUCACGUGUAUUCCUCAUGGCAGCCCUCUGCAGUAGGCACUUAAGAGCCUGCGUUUUACAGAUGAGGAAACUGAAGCGCAGAAAGACUCAGUGACACACAGAGGUCACGUGGUGCCUGUGGGCCAGAAGAGGCCGUCUGGCUCUCCGGGGGUCAGUACAGACCUUCCCUCUCCAGUAGGGGAGUGUCCCUCUCCUCCCCCACCCCCCAUUCUGGUUUUUACCACAUCUGUUCUCUGAAAUGUGGCCGGGCCUGCUUUGCAUGCUUAGCAGAGCAGCGGGAAACGCACUGAGUGGCCAGUGCCAGCUGGGUUUUUUGUAGUUUUACAGAAGACUUAGAAGUCCUAUUUCUCCCCCACUGGAAAGGGGGAAAAAAGGCUUUUAUACAGUUACAUGACUUCUAAUGAGAGAAAUAUGGAAACAAUAGGAACAGGGGCAUGAGACUUGAGGCUAUUACAGACACAUCAAGAAAUAAUAGCAUUUCAGAAUUAAGUGAAAUCACCAAAAAGUAUUAUAAGAAAGGACUACAAAUGGGGAAAUAAACAUGGCAACAUCCUGUGUACAAUUAGAUCAGGUUAGAUAUCUAUCCCUAAAACAAGGGUAAGUCGGUAGAAAAAUAAAAAUAAUGCCAACAGUUGGGCGAGGUUUGCUGAGUGCUGGAAGCCAGCAUUUCAAAUACUGGAGUCUCUUUCAUUUGCAUGUCAAAAAGGCUGACCAGCAGAACUGGUCUAGUUGUAACUCAGUUUUUUCUGAGCGGUGGGAAAGAUGGCUUAUCCUGUGAAAGAAGGGGGAAAAGGAGAGUUUUCUUAAAGUUUAAGAAAACAAUCUGAGGCUGAAAUCCUUUCAUUACAAACGUUUGAAACACAGGUACUUUGUACGUGUUUGGUCUCCUGAUAGCAGUCUCUCCUGACUGCACAUAAUCCAGCCUCACUGCCUCUUUUCUAAGAGGAAGGAGGCAUGACUCCCCCUCCGGGGCUGCUGCCCUGCCAGCGGCCUAUCUCAGGAUCCUCUGUUUCAGGUCUCUGUCCUGGGAUGCCCUGACCCAGUGGUACAUGAAAUUGCCUAUCAAUACGGAAAAAACGUGGGACUCGCUUUUCAGCUAAUAGAUGACGUCCUGGACUUCACCUCGUGUUCUGACCGGAUGGGCAAGCCGACCUCAGCCGACCUG